GACAGCAGCAGCCGCGGGAAUACGAAGGGGGCUGGCGUUGUUCGGAAUUACUGGGCGUAAAGCGUACGUAGGCGGAUAUUUAAGUCAGGGGUGAAAUCCCAGAGCUCAACUCUGGAACUGCCUUUGAUACUGGGUAUUUUGAGUAUGGAAGAGGUGAGUGGAAUUCCGAGUGUAGAGGUGAAAUUCGUAGGUAUUCGGAGGAACACCAGUGGCGGAGGCGGCUCACUGGUCCAUUACUGACGCUGAGGUGCGAAAGCGUGGGGAGCAAACAGGAUUAGAUACCCCCGUAGUCCCUGUCUCUUAUAC
rnacentral:rRNA from 1 species